rnacentral:lncRNA from 10 species
CGGCCUCCCAAAGUGCUGAUUGUAUCCCCAUUUUAUAGAGGAGGAGAUUGAGGCCUGGAGACAGAAGUGAUUUGGGCAAGGGCCGCAUUGCUGGGAGGCAGCAGAGGAGCCAGAAUUCAAACGCAAGCCUGACUGUCCAUGGGAGUAUCUUUUUAGUUUCUUGAAAAAUACCAAUGUUGGCCCCUCAGGGCUUCCUCCUGCCUCUGCUGUGCCUCUGCCUGACAUUUCCUCUGCAUCCUCCAAGUGCUUCCCAGGCUGGCUUCUUCUUGCCCUGCUGGUCUCUGUUUAAACAUCGCCCUUUGAGGAGGCCUUUCCUGACCCCUCCUCCCCCCGCCGCAUCUACCAGCGUAAUUCUGGCUCUUUGAGUGGUUUACUGCGUCACAAGUCACAAUCACUUAUUAACUUUUUGUUUGCUUCUUUUAUCUAGACGAGGGCUUUAAUUUCAAGGAGCUCACAUUCAAAUGGAGCAGAAAGGCACUGAACCCAGAAACAAAUAAUUCUCUAGGAUGGUGGCUGGAAGUGCAUUUGCUAAAGAACCUCACUUCUACCGAUCUCAUUUUCCACGCACUUACAAACGGACCAGAGGUUGCAAAAGUGAGUCUCUCCUCGCUUCUACCGAUCUCAUUUUCCACGCACUUACAAACGGACCAGUGGUUGCAAAAAUAGGAAAACCAAGGCACAGCGAGGGAAAAUUUGCCUAAAAAUCACACAGUUGGUUGGAAGUGAAGCCAGGAUUCCAGCCCAGGUCUGUGUGAUUCCAGCACCUGGACCCUGGACCACCGAGUUCACAGAGAAGGGACAUUUCUGCAGGGGAGAGCUGUGGUCAAAGAGAGGAAUAAAGCUUAGAAAGAGGAAGUUCGUGGGUUGCAAAGUGAGUAAUGGCUGCAUCUGGGAGCUGAUCAAAGGUGGCCAGCCAAGUUGAGUAGCCAGUUCGGUGUAUGAGACUUAACAACACUGUUUCCCCGGCCAUGGAAGGAGUCUUGAGCAGAGUGUGAGAAUGGCCAGGUGGCGGAAGUGUCUGAGAAGAUCCUGCAUCGAUCCAGAAGCAGUGGGAUAAGGAAGGAGCACUGGAUGGAAGUCAGGUGUCCUGGGGCCCAGCGCUGGCCCUGCCACACAUGGUGUGAGCGCUGAACCCCUGUCCACCUAGCAAAGGUCACAUGAUGUCCUGGACCCCUGUCCUGUCCUGGACCCAUGUCCUGUCCUGGACCCAUGUCCUGUCCUGGACCCCCUGUCCACCCAGCAAAGGUCACAUGAUGUCCUGGACACCUGUCCUGUCCUGGACCCCUGUCCACCCAGCAAAGGUUACAUGAUGCUGUCUGUAAGCUUCUUUUUAUGGUUCUGAUAUCCAAAGCCACUUAAUAGCGUGGAACUUCCACUUCUCCAGUUUAAAAGGUUAAAUAUGUAUAUCAGGCUGGCUGGGCUCAGUGGCUCACGUCUAUAGUCCCAGCUACUGGGGAGGCUGAGGUGGGAGGAUCACUUAAGCCUGGGAGGCGGAGGUUGCAGUAAGCCAAGAUGGUGCCACUGCACUCCAGCCUGGGUGACAGCGAGCCCCUGUCUCAAAAACUGUAUAUGUAUAUAAGGGCCUACAUUUUUGGUUAGGGAGAGAAAGAGAAUGAAUAAGAAGCUGGUUCUUGUAUCUUGAGUCAUUACAAACUCCUCUCUCUCCCCCUGCCUGAGGCGUCCUCCUUCUUCAUUCUCUAUUCAGUUUGCAAGGCUGUUAUUCCUGCCAAAUGAGUCAUUGAUGUGGGAAAGUUAAUUUAUUUUGGCAGACAUCACCAUUGCUCCGAGAAAUAGAGACUAUGCACCCACUGUCGCAGAAGACACAAAUUAUCGUGGUGAUUCAUUCAUUCCUCCCUGCAUUCAUUCAUUCCCAGAAUACGUGAUUGUUUCUGGAACAUACACAAAUGGGCAACCCUACCUGUUGUUUUCUGUCUCAGAGAGUAGAUGUGAGAAUUAAAUGAGGUAAUAUGUAAAAGUGCUUAUAUAAUAAUAAUAAUAACUAAUCCUGAUUGAGCACGUAUUACGUGUCAAGCUGCGUGGUAAGCCUUUUACCUGCUUUAUUUAUUGUCUUUGAUCCUAACACUGCUCUGCAGGGCAGGGAUAAUGAGUACUUUAUUUCAGAGAUUCAGAGAUUGAAGCUAGGGCAGGUCAAGGUGACCUGGCCACAAGUCAUUAAACAGUGCACAAGUGGCAGAGGGAAGCCAGCCCUGAGUCUGGACUUGAAAAUAUUGCAUCAUGACCCAUAUUUAUAAGGUGGAAGCAGAACCCUGCUGCCCGUGUCUGGGUGGGCGAGAGACUGGGGAAACACGGCCAGGAAGCAGCCCGGCAGAUGGGGGCUGAGCGCACUGGCAGGGGCAGGAGGAGGCAGCUGCAGAUCUUUUCUCAGUUGAGCUUCAGAUGAGACCACAGCCCCAGCCAGCUUCUUAAGUGCAGCCUCAUAAGAAACCGUAAGCAGAGAACCAAGAUAAACCAUGCCUGAACUCCUGAUCCACAGAAACUGUGAAAUAGAUCUGCCUGGAACCUGCCGGCCCCCUGCAGCUGGCUUCUUAAAUGCCUGCAGCUGGUGCAAGCCUCUCACUCCAAGAUGUUUCCACCCCAGACACAUCCCAGAGCCCCCUGCAUCUCCUGGGAGGACGAGGAUGGAUGGAAGCGUGCUGCCAACGCUGGGACACCUGCUUGCUUUCUGGGCAGUGGCCAGGAAAUCGCAUCUGCUGCCAGAAGAGAGCACCUGCACAUCCCGGAGAAGGGAAGGGGACAGAGCCGUGUGAUUCUAGCAGAGGAACACCCAUAGGAUUCCUUCUGUUGUUCCCAAGGUCCAGGCUCCCAGGCUGAGUAGGCAGGAAGGAGAAUGUGUCUUCACACAGGAAGCCUCACUGCCCAGAACAUGGGACAGAUCUAGCUGGAGCUGUGCUCAAACAGCUGUGGAGGCAUUAUAAAUCUCUCUCCCCGAGAUGAGGUUCAGAGGCUCUUGACAUGCCCUGCUAAUGGUAAAUCUUCCAGUGCCCACAGAGCAAGCCCUGGACUCUUAGAGCAUCAAGGUGAGACUGCCUGCCCCCCUUAAGCCUGUUAAUGGCAUCAGUGAUGUAUUCCCCUCCAAAUGUGGAAGGCUGCCUCUUUCUUCAUUGGAAGCAUCAAGGGAGUUUUAACUGUAAAACAGACUGUGCUUCAAAUCCCAUCUAAAUGCCUCAUCCUGAAGCUCUGACCUGCCACUUUUCUGCAAAUGACACUGGGUGAUUUGAAUGGGAUUAGAUUGGACAGUGGCCCCUGGCUGUUGUUUAAGUUUGUGUGGGUUUUGUUGUUUGUUUGUUUUAAUGCAACCUGUCUUUAAAUCUUCACUUUCAAAAAAAAAAAAAAGUGGUCAUUAGCCUUAUUUUUUAUUUAGAGGAUGUGAAGUCAGAAGUUCCCUUCCCUGAUUUAUUACCUCAUAGGUUUAUGACUUUGAAGAAUCAUUUCAUCUCUUUUAGUUUCCUCAUCUGUAGAAAGGUGAUUGUAAACUCUUUCUUAUCGGCUGGAUACAAAGAUGAAAUGAGAUAUCCU